GAUAAACGCUGGCGGCGCACAUAAGACAUGCAAGUCGAACGGACUUAACUCAUUCUUUUAGAUUGAGAGCGGUUAGUGGCGGACUGGUGAGUAACGCGUAGGUAACCUGCCCUUCAGAUGGGGACAACACCUCGAAAGGGGUGCUAAUACCGAAUGACGUUCCCUGGUCGCAUGACCUGGAAACCAAAGGCCGGGCAACCGGUCACUGAGGGAUGGGCCUGCGUCUGAUUAGCUAGUUGGUGGGGUAACGGCCCACCAAGGCGACGAUCAGUAGCCGGUCUGAGAGGAUGAACGGCCACAUUGGGACUGAGACACGGCCCAA
rnacentral:rRNA from 1 species